rfam:Habropoda laboriosa contig6507, whole genome shotgun sequence.
ACCAGCGGCCGUAGCCGUGCAUGCCUACAGGUUCCCGUUCGAUCACCGAAGUCAAGAUCACUGGGGCGGCGACCGUAAGAAGGAUGGGUGACCGCUCCUCACCUGUCUCUGGAAGCGUACUGCUGGCU